AGCUUUGUACAGUGGCAGUAUCAUAGCCAAUGAGGCAUGAUUAUUGCUAAUUGAAAACUUUAUUUCUUGUG
rnacentral:snRNA from 1 species